rnacentral:rRNA from 1 species
ACGAACGCUGGCGGCGUGCUUCACACAUGCCAGUCGAACGGAAAGGCCCUGCUUUUGUGGGGUGCUCGCGUGGCGAACGGGUGAGUAACACGUGAGUAACCUGCCCUUGACUUUGGGAUAACUUCAUGAAACUGGGGCUAAUACCGGCUAGGAGCUCCUGCUGCCUGGUGGGGGUUGGAAAGUUUCGGCGGUUGGGGAUGGACUCGCGGCUUAUCAGCUUGUUGGUGGGGUAGUGGCUUACCAAGGCUUUGACGGGUAGCCGGCCUGAGAGGGUGACCGGCCACAUUGGGACUGAGAUACGGCCCAGACUCCUACGGGAGGCAGCAGUGGGGAAUAUUGCACAAUGGGCGGAAGCCUGAUGCAGCAACGCCGCGUGCGGGAUGACGGCCUUCGGGUUGUAAACCGCUUUCGCCUGUGACGAAGCGUGAGUGACGGUAAUGGGUAAAGAAGCACCGGCUAACUACGUG